rnacentral:rRNA from 1 species
AACGAACGCUGGCGGCAGGCCUAACACAUGCAAGUCGAGCGAAGCCUUCGGGCUUAGCGGCGGACGGGUGAGUAACGCGUGGGAACGUGCCCUUUGCUACGGAAUAGCCCCGGGAAACUGGGAGUAAUACCGUAUGUGCCCUUCGGGGGAAAGAUUUAUCGGCAAAGGAUCGGCCCGCGUUGGAUUAGGUAGUUGGUGGGGUAAUGGCCUACCAAGCCGACGAUCCAUAGCUGGUUUGAGAGGAUGGUCAGCCACACGGGGACUGAGACACGGCCCAGACUCCGACGGGAGGAAGCAGUGGGGAAUCUUAGACAAUGGGGGAAACCCUGAUCUAGCCAUGCCGCGUGAUCGAUGAAGGCCUUAGGGUUGUAAAGAUCUUUCAGUGGGGAAGAUAAUGACUGUACCCACAGAAGAAGCCCCGGCUAACUCCGUGCCAGCAGCCGCCGUAACAC